CAGUAGCCGCGGUAAUACAGAGGGUGCGAGCGUUAAUCGGAUUUACUGGGCGUAAAGCGUGCGUAGGCGGCUUUUUAAGUCGGAUGUGAAAUCCCUGAGCUUAACUUAGGAAUUGCAUUCGAUACUGGGAAGCUAGAGUAUGGGAGAGGAUGGUAGAAUUCCAGGUGUAGCGGUGAAAUGCGUAGAGAUCUGGAGGAAUACCGAUGGCGAAGGCAGCCCCCUGGGCCAAUACUGACGCUCAUGCACGAAAGCGUGGGGAGCAAACAGGAUUAGAUACCCCAGUAGUCCCUGUCUCUUAUAA
rnacentral:rRNA from 1 species